rnacentral:rRNA from 1 species
UACGUAGGGGGCAAGCGUUGUCCGGAUUUAUUGGGCGUAAAGAGCGUGUAGGCGGCCAUGCAGGUCAGCUGUGAAAACUCGAGGCUCAACCUCGAGACGUCGGUUGAAACCGUAUGGCUAGAGUCCGGAAGAGGAGAGUGGAAUUCCCGGUGUAGCGGUGAAAUGCGCAGAUAUCGGGAAGAACACCCAUGGCGAAGGCAGCUCUCUGGGACGGUACUGACGCUGAGACGCGAAAGCGUGGGGAGCAAACAGG